rnacentral:rRNA from 1 species
GACGAACGCUGGCGGCGUGCCUAAUACAUGCAAGUCGAGCGAAGCGGCGGAUGGGUGAGUAACGCGUGGGUAACCUGCCCUUAAGUCAGGGAUACCAGUUGGAAAAGGAUGCUAAUACCGGAUACUAAAGGAUGGCCCGGCGAUGCAUUAGAUAGAUGGUAAGGUAACGGCUUACAAAGGCGAUGAUGAAUAGCCGAGUUGAGAGACUGAUCGGCCACAUUGGGACUGAGACACGGCCCAAACUCCGACGGGAGGCAGCAGGAGGGAAUCUUCCACAAUGGACGAAAGUCUGAUGGAGCAACGCCGCGUGAGUGAAGAAGGUUUUCGGAUCGUAAAGCUCUGUUGUUGGUGAAGCGGUAAUCAACCAGAAAGUCACGGCUAACUACGUGCCAGCAGCCGCGGUAAUAC